GGGUCUAAUACCGGAUAACACUCCCUCUCUCAUGGGUGGGGGUUAAAAGCUCCGGCGGUGAAGGAUGAGCCCGCGGCCUAUCAGCUUGUUGGUGAGGUAAUGGCUCACCAAGGCGACGACGGGUAGCCGGCCUGAGAGGGCGACCGGCCACACUGGGACUGAGACACGGCCCAGACUCCUACGGGAGGCAGCAGUGGGGAAUAUUGCACAAUGGGCGAAAGCCUGAUGCAGCGACGCCGCGUGAGGGAUGACGGCCUUCGGGUUGUAAACCUCUUUCAGCAGGGAAGAAGCGAAAGUGACGGUACCUGCAGAAGAAGCGCCGGCUAACUACGUGCCAGCAGCCGCGGUAAUACGUAGGGCGCAAGCGUUGUCCGGAAUUAUUGGGCGUAAAGAGCUCGUAGGCGGCUUGUCACGUCGGGUGUGAAAGCCCGGGGCUUAACCCCGGGUCUGCAUUCGAUACGGGCUAGCUAGAGUGUGGUAGGGGAGAUCGGAAUUCCUGGUGUAGCGGUGAAAUGCGCAGAUAUCAGGAGGAACACCGGUGGCGAAGGCGGAUCUCUGGGCCAUUACUGACGCUGAGGAGCGAAAGCGUGGGGAGCGAACAGGAUUAGAUACCCUGGUAGUCCACGCCGUAAACGGUGGGAACUAGGUGUUGGCGACAUUCCACGUCGUCG
rnacentral:rRNA from 1 species